rnacentral:tRNA from 1 species
GCCUGGGUGGCUCAGUCUGUUGAGCGUCCGACUUCAGCUCAGGUCAUGAUCUUCGCUGUUUGUGGGUUUGAGCCCCACAUCGGGCU